rnacentral:rRNA from 1 species
GCGGUAGAGAGAAGCUUGCUUCUCUUGAGAGCGGCGGACGGGUGAGUAAUGCCUAGGAAUCUGCCUGGUAGUGGGGGAUAACGCUCGGAAACGGACGCUAAUACCGCAUACGUCCUACGGGAGAAAGCAGGGGACCUUCGGGCCUUGCGCUAUCAGAUGAGCCUAGGUCGGAUUAGCUAGUUGGUGAGGUAAUGGCUCACCAAGGCGACGAUCCGUAACUGGUCUGAGAGGAUGAUCAGUCACACUGGAACUGAGACACGGUCCAGACUCCUACGGGAGGCAGCAGUGGGGAAUAUUGGACAAUGGGCGAAAGCCUGAUCCAGCCAUGCCGCGUGUGUGAAGAAGGUCUUCGGAUUGUAAAGCACUUUAAGUUGGGAGGAAGGGCAGUAAAUUAAUACUUUGCUGUUUUGACGUUACCGACAGAAUAAGCACCGGCUAACUCUGUGCCAGCAGCCGCGGUAAUACAGAGGGUGCAAGCGUUAAUCGGAAUUACUGGGCGUAAA